rnacentral:tRNA from 1 species
CCCCGCGCACCUGACGGGCCGUGAAAGGCGCGGAUGAGGACCGGGUGGUCCGGGGUUCGAAUCCCCGCGGCGGGACCA